rnacentral:rRNA from 1 species
UACGUAGGGUGCGAGCGUUGUCCGGAUUUACUGGGUGUAAAGGGAGCGUAGACGGCAUUGCAAGUCUGAUGUGAAAACCCGGGGCUCAACCGCGGGAUUGCAUUGGAAACUGCAGAGCUUGAGUACUGGAGGGGCAGGCGGAAUUCCUAGUGUAUCGGUGAAAUGCGUAGAUAUUAGGAGGAACACCGGUGGCGAAGGCGGCCUGCUGGACAGUAACUGACGUUGAGGCUCGAAAGCGUGGGGAGCAAACAGGAUUAGAUACCCCCGUAGUCCCU